GAAAUGCGAUAAGUAGUGUGAAUUGCAGAAUUCAGUGAAUCAUCGAAUCUUUGAACGCACAUUGCGCCCUUUGGUAUUCCUUAGGGCAUGCCUGUUCGAGCGUCAUCUAAACCUUCAAGCCCUGCUUGGUGUUGGGUGCCUGUCCCGCCUCCGCGCGAGGACUCACCUCAAAUCCAUUGGCGGCCCCCGCGUCGGCCACGAGCGCAGCAGAAACGCGAACUCGUGAGCCCGUCCGGGCGGCUCCCAGAAGCUACACCCACCCAGUUUGACCUCGGAUCAGGUAGGGAUACCCGCUGAACUUAAGC
rnacentral:misc_RNA from 1 species